rnacentral:rRNA from 1 species
GGCAUGCGCAUGGGCGGAGCCUGACGCAGCGACGCCGCGUGGGGGAUGACGGCCUUCGGGUUGUAAACCUCUUUCAGCAGGGACGAAGCGAAAGUGACGGUACCUGCAGAAGAAGCACCGGCCAACUACGUGCCAGCAGCCGCGGUAAUACGUAGGGUGCAAGCGUUGUCCGGAAUUAUUGGGCGUAAAGAGCUCGUAGGCGGUUCGUCGCGUCGGCUGUGAAAACCUGAGGCUCAACCUCAGGCCUGCAGUCGAUACGGGCGGACUUGAGUACUGCAGGGGAGACUGGAAUUCCUGGUGUAGCGGUGAAAUGCGCAGAUAUCAGGAGGAACACCGGUGGCGAAGGCGGGUCUCUGGGCAGUAACUGACGCUGAGGAGCGAAAGCGUGGGGAGCGAACAGGAUUAGAUACCCUGGUAGUCCACGCCGUAAACGUUGGGCGCUAGGUGUGGGGGCCAUUCCACGGUCUCCGUGCCGCAGCUAACGCAUUAAGCGCCCCGCCUGGGGAGUACGGCCGCAAGGCUAAAACUCAAAUGAAAUUGACGGA